UACGAAGGGGGCUAGCGUUGUUCGGAAUUACUGGGCGUAAAGGGCGCGUAGGCGGUGUGUCAAGUCAGGCGUGAAAGCCCCGGGCUCAACCUGGGAACCGCGCUUGAGACUGGCACGCUCGAGUUCGGGAGAGGAUGGUGGAAUUCCCAGUGUAGAGGUGAAAUUCGUAGAUAUUGGGAGGAACACCAGUGGCGAAGGCGGCUCACUGGACCGGAACUGACGCUGAGGCGCGAAAGCGUGGGGAGCAAACAGG
rnacentral:rRNA from 1 species